GUGGUGUGAAGUGCUUGUGUUGAGUGCAUUAAAAAUACAGGGCUUUUGUGAGGUCACAUCCCGAGAUGCCCUGAGAUGUCACUGCCCACUCGACCUGGUAAAGGUAUGAGGUUGUUGCAUUAAUAUGUCAUACACUGCCCGAAGUACCAUUACUCUUAAAUCCUGCAGAGUGUGGAUGUCAUAGACUGUUUGGUACUUGGUACAGGCAGAGUGACAGAUGACAGACAAGACAUACACACACAUGCUAAUUAUUAAACUACUAUGUAUUAUAUUCAUAUCAUUAUAUUUGAUUAUAUGAUUAGUAUCAUAUAUAUAUAUUAGUCAUACAUUAUACUAUUUAAUAUCACAUUUUAUUAUAUUAUACUAUUACUAUAUUCUACUAUAUUAUAUUUUUACUGUAUUAUAUUAUACUAUAUUAUAUUAUAUUGCAUUCACCCCUCCCAUCCCCUAGCAACACCCAUAUAUUGUGACCAAACCAUUUCCUUAUAUUCUGAUUUAAAGUGAUGGAUAUUUGAACACUGCCUAAGUUGUAGCCCCAGUCGGUUCCAAAGUUUAACACCACACACAGACACACACAAACCUUUCCUCGUGGUCCUUACAGGAUGGACCUUAAAGUUACCACAGCCCCUCAGGUUAUAACCUCCUUCUCUGGUUGUGAAGAGCUUUUGAACAUUUGCAGGUAACAUGCUUUUACUUGCUUUAUAUAGAGGUUGUGCUGUAUAAAAAUUAACUAAAUCAUAAAAUUUUAUCAAUUUGGACUGCAAGAAUAAAUUAUUAGUGUGAUCAUAAAAUCCUACUUUAUGUAUGACUCUCACUGCCCGUUUCUGGAGGAUGAAGAGGGAUUAUAGUGAACUUUUAUAGUUGUUGCCCCAGAUGUCGAUACAAUAUGAUAAGUAAGGCAACACUAAUGAGCAAUAC